UGGGGAAUCUUCCGCAAUGGGCGAAAGCCUGACGGAGCAACGCCGCGUGAGUGAUGACGGCCUUCGGGUUGUAAAACUCUGUGAUCCGGGACGAAAAGGCAGAGUGUGAAGAACAAACUGCAUUGACGGUACCGGAAAAGCAAGCCACGGCUAACUACGUGCCAGCAGCCGCGGUAAUACGUAGGUGGCAAGCGUUGUCCGGAAUUAUUGGGCGUAAAGCGCGCGCAGGCGGCUUCCCAAGUCCCUCUUAAAAGUGCGGGGCUUAACCCCGUGAUGGGAAGGAAACUGGGAAGCUGGAGUAUCGGAGAGGAAAGUGGAAUUCCUAGUGUAGCGGUGAAAUGCGUAGAGAUUAGGAAGAACACCGGUGGCGAAGGCGACUUUCUGGACGAAAACUGACGCUGAGGCGCGAAAGCGUGGGGAGCAAACAGGAUUAGAUACCCUGGUAGUCCACGCCGUAAACGAUGGAUACUAGGUGUAGGAGGUAUCGACCCCUUCUGUGCCGGAGUUAACGCAAUAAGUAUCCCGCCUGGGAAGUACGAUCGCAAGAUUA
rnacentral:rRNA from 1 species